AGUGAACGCUGGCGGUAGGCCUAACACAUGCAAGUCGAACGGCAGCACAGUAAGAGCUUGCUCUUACGGGUGGCGAGUGGCGGACGGGUGAGGAAUACAUCGGAAUUUACUUUUUCGUGGGGGAUAACGUAGGGAAACUUACGCUAAUACCGCAUACGACCUACGGGUGAAAGCAGGGGAUCUUCGGACCUUGCGCGAUUGAAUUAGCCGAUGUCGGAUUAGCUAGUUGGCGGGGUAAAGGCCCACCAAGGCGACGAUCCGUAGCUGGUCUGAGAGGAUGAUCAGCCACACUGGAACUGAGACACGGUCCAGACUCCUACGGGAGGCAGCAGUGGGGAAUAUUGGGCAAUGGGCGCAAGCCUGAUCCAGCCAUACCGCGUGGGUGAAGAAGGCCUUCGGGUUGUAAAGCCCUUUUGUUGGGAAAGAAAAGCAGCAGGUUAAUACCCCGCUGUUCUGACGGUACCCAAAGAAUAAGCACCGGCUAACUUCGUG
rnacentral:rRNA from 1 species